UAAGCACGCGGCCCCUCCCACGCCGGAGCCAAUGGAAGGAGGCGGCGAAAAGCGGACGAGCCGGGCAGCGCCGCCUGUUUCCUUUUUCCAUCUCAGCCUUUUUAAAGGGCCAGCCGAGGGAACCCUGGAAGCGGGCAGUGGCUCCUUUCCUCUUGAGACGGCGGGCCGAGGCAUCCCGAGUUAACGUGAAGAGGGAACUAUGGGCUGCUGCCGGAUUAGUCUCCCGGUCUCCGGUUCGAGAAACGCUGGCUGGCAGAAUGGAGAGAGCUAUUAUCCUGGGGAAGAUUAAAUAAGGUCCACCAGCAACUAUUCCCUGCUUGCCUUUCUCAAAGAGAAAGAAAAUAGCUGAUCCAACCAACUUCCAAAACUAAAAGGCAAAUUUUAAAUUUUCAAACUAGCAUAUGUGUAAGAAUGUAAGAAAUUAACAAAUUCUAAAACUUUAUCGGUCUGGUAUAUGAUUCAUAUGUAUAGUUCCACAGCCCCAUCUCUUAAAAUAUGCCCCUUUUUCCUUCUCCAUGAGUUUGUUUCUAAUCGCUAAAGGGUUUCUAUCACUUUCUAUUCCACUUCAGUGCUCCUGUAAAUUGUUUGUGAAGGUCAGUAAAGGAAAGAAAAAAAUCUGCACAUGAAAACACCACAAGAUAGAGAAGCAAGGGGAAGAGUGUCAUAUUUUUAAAAAGUAACCGUAGACAUCAAUCUUGGCCAAGGUGAAAGCCCACAAACUUUCCAAAUUAGAAUUCAAGAGAGAUAUAAUGAUGGCACAUGCCCAUUUGAGAAGAAUCCAUAUAUUGUAGGUUUGGAUAGUAAGCUUAAACCCAUCUGAAAAUCAUUAUC